rnacentral:rRNA from 1 species
GACGGAGGGUGCAAGCGUUAAUCGGAAUUACUGGGCGUAAAGCGCACGUAGGCGGCUUUUUAAGUCAGAUGUGAAAUCCCCGGGCUCAACCUGGGAACUGCACCUGAUACUGGGAAGCUAGAAUGUGGGAGAGGAGAGUGGAAUUUCCGGUGUAGCGGUGAAAUGCAUAGAGAUCGGAAGGAACACCAGUGGCGAAGGCGGCUCUCUGGACCAACAUUGACGCUGAGGUGCGAAAGCGUGGGUAGCAAACAGG